rnacentral:rRNA from 1 species
GAUGAACGCUGGCGGCGUGCCUAAUACAUGCAAGUCGAGCGAACAGAUGAGGAGCUUGCUCCUCUGACGUUAGCGGCGGACGGGUGAGUAACACGUGGAUAACCUACCUAUAAGACUGGGAUAACUUCGGGAAACCGGAGCUAAUACCGGAUAAUAUAUUGAACCGCAUGGUUCAAUAGUGAAAGACGGUUUUGCUGUCACUUAUAGAUGGAUCCGCGCCGCAUUAGCUAGUUGGGAAGGUAACGGCUUACCAAGGCAACGAUGCGUAGCCGACCUGAGAGGGUGGUCGGCCACACUGGAACUGAGACACGGUCCAGACGCCUACGGGAGGGAGCAGUAGGGAAUCUUCCGCAAUGGGCGAAAGCCUGACGGAGCAACGCCGAGUGAGUGAUGAAGGUCUUCGGAUCGUAAAACUCUGUUAUGAGGGAAGAACAAAUGUGGAAGUAACUAUGCACGUCUUGACGGUACCUAAUCAGAAAGCCACGGCUAACUACGUG